UUAUUCUAGUAUAUGCACUUUUGUACAUGUUACUUGGCUGGAAAAUCAUGCUGCAAAAUUCAGAGAAGUGUAAAUUUUGAAGGAUAGCCAUUUUUCAGUUCAGAUUUUGUUUCAGAAAGUGUGAAUUAGGUAGUUUCAUCUUUAAGUGUGAACUGAAUUGAAUUUAUCCCCCAUCCCUAUUUAAAGCUUUGUGAUCAAUAAAAGGGCAAUAUUCAAGCAGUAAUGCUGCUGGUAGAGCGCAUUCAGUAGGGCUCAUGAGUGCUAAUUCUGGUUAUUUCCCUCUCUUUUUGCACAGCCUUGGGGCUACUACUUAGGAUUCAUGUCUUUACUAUUUCAUGGUAAAUGUGUUCAUAUCGCCAUGUGGGUAAACUAGCCUGUGUCAAAAGGAUGAGGAAAAGGUACUUUCUUGAUGUCAGUGUUUACAACCCUCUUCCAAUUCACAGAAUGAUUUGGGGGCAAUUUUGUGAUGUCAGAAAGUACUGGCAUCUCCAUGAAGAUGGAGCACCCUCUCUAUUAUCUUCUGGGACAUCCUUUCAGAUGGCAUAAAACUGGUUAUUAGUAAGGAAAUUAUUUACCUACUCCAACCAUAAUCUUUUUACCCCUCUGUCAUAUUGUCUGCUCCCCCUUCACAUAUGCUGUGUCAGAACCUGUUCAUUUAAUUGCAGCAGCAUAAGUACUGCAUCCUUGUAGUAUGAUCCCAUAUGCCUGUGGGAUACAUGUGAAUGACACAACUACAUGGAUGGGGCUGUGUAAUUGCCCCCCCUUUACACAGUUGUAUUAUUUAUACACAGCUUGCAGCUAUGCUGAUUCACAUGCAUCACGAAGAUACAACUCCUGUGUGUCCUGAUGCGAAGGAGGACUGAAGUCUUACUAAUUCCAGGCAAAGAAUCAUAUCGUUUCUGUAUUCUAUCCCGUAUACUGUUGGUAUUUAUAUAUAGUGUGUCUAAUCGCAGAGAGAGAAAGUAUGGUCUUUUUUUAGAUUCUGAAGAACUAUAUUUUGAGAUGAGUAUUUAGCAACAUUUAGUGGCAUGCAAAUGCCAAAUCUGAUCAUAUCAUUGCAAACUGAGCAACAAUUAGACCAGAUGGAUGCAGCCUAUGACUUGAUUCCCCCUCCCCCCAAUCUAUGAGAAAGUAGGGCAGAGUUUUGUGGUAGGUCUGCUCCCCCCUUCCCCCAUGGAGACGCUGCAAUUCUCUUAAUGUGCAGUUUUUGGACACAGCUGCUAUACCAGCUGUUCCUUCUACUGUCACAAAAGAUGUCUUUUUUUUUUUAAGCAAGGCAGCUCCCAUUGGCAGAGUGCUCAGAAAUGCCAAAUGGAAUUAAAAAGUUUAAUUUCAAAUCCAUGCAGUAAGUUUAUCCAGGGUGAACAGAUCCGCUUAACCACCCCCACCCCGUGGGUUUUCAGGCAGUCUACCAGCCCAUCUACCUCAGGGAAAUGAGGGCGCUGUUUUUCUUUAACGUUACAGCGUUCUGUUGUUUCAGAGGUGGUUAAAAGUUGUGUUUUAAGAGCUGCACUGCAAAUUAUGCAGACACUGGAAAGGAUAUCCAUGCGCACAAAAUAGGUAACAUUCAUACCUGCAACUGAAACUUUCAAUCUUAAUUUGUAUUUCAGUUUAACAGAACAAGAUGAUGUACUUCUUUUAAGGAUUGUAGUAGAGUUAUAACAACAGAGGUGGUUUUCACAUAUACAAAGCCAGUCCUUACUAGGUAGUUCUUUGGAGGUCCUUCAGAACUAACCGCCUUUACUUUUGUGCUGUUCAAGAAUGUACUUCUAAAAAAGAGAGAGAGGCUCAGCUUCAGUAAAAUAAUCCAGAUAUAUUGUCCCAGUUCAUUGGCAAGUUCUUUCCCCAAAAUAUCUGAUUCUAGCCAUGUUACAAGCAGUUCACACAAAACAAGGGUUGCUAUUCCCAAUGCUUAUUGGCAUUUCUUGUCCUACUAAACUGACUCUUAAGAGCCUAAACCAGGCUUUUAUGGCCCUUAUAUGCAGCUAGAAUCGAGGCCAAGAACUGCUUUCAAUUUAGUGCUGGAUAGCCAGGUUGGGUAUUACACUAUAGUUUUGUAUCUCUAUGGCCCUGAGUUGCUUCCUACAAAGGAAGUAAUUAUUCCUCCUAAAUGGAUAAGGCACUUUGGGAAAGGCCUAUCUGUUUUCCUUAUCAAUGCAACAGUUCAAGAGCUGUAUCUUAACGUCUGUUGCCACCUCACUUUUAUUUCUCUUGUCUCUUUGCAAGUAAUUUAAACACUAUUACAUGCCAUUGUAUGAAACUUUGUCAGUUUUUUCUAAAAAACGGUAUGUAGGCUUGGGAGGAUGUAAUCUUGAGCAAAAAGCAGGGAGGCAGCUUAUUCCUUUUCUAUGCCUGUUGUUUUCCACACCCCUUCCUCCACAUGGAUAUCAGUAUCUUUUCUGCCAUGGGAGAACAGCAGGGGAGGGGGUGACUAUAUGCUGAAACACAGUGAGGGGAAGAGUUAAGCUCAAUAUUGUAGCCUCCUGAGGCUGCUUCUCACUUUAAAAGAAAAAAAAGGAUAACAUUACAUACACCUGUGUAUAAUGCCUAGUAUGGCUCUUAAAGAAUUCUUUAGAGAUGAAAACUACACAGGUUACGGAUGUAUGUUGCUUACCAUAAAGCUGUAAUAUUUGAAGGGCGUACUUAUUUUUCAUCUUUUGUACCACACAAAAACUUGUGCUGGGGCAAGUCAUGGCUUCCCAUAGUGUGUUUCUGAAGCGUAGACAAGAUGAAAAAAUAUACCAUAGUAAUUCAUAUCCAUCAUGGUUCCGUAGUGUGUGUUCCUUAAGAUGGCAAUGUGUCACAUGACAUUAUCCCUCACAAUAUGAUCUUGUUCCAUUACUGUCAUUUUGUGAUAGCUGUGAUAUGUUUAAGCGAUUUUAUGAACAACAGAACUCUGAUUUCUAGAAUAAUCUUUCUUUAAACUAAACUAAAAAUAUUUAGUACUUCUAUUCACAGGUCUUGUGAAUGCCCUACCCCUUCCCCUGGAACCAAGGCAGUCAAAAAUACCACUUAGACAGCAAGAUACCUUUAACAUCUAUAUGCUUUAACUAGAGUUCAUGGCAGUAUUUUCUAUGGUAAUAUGAGAUACCAAAUAAUAACAUGAGAUCACUUGUUUAUGUCCAUGCUGUUAGGAACAAGUAUUUAAUUAAGCAUCGGUUUAAUUCACAGGAUCAAUCAUUUAGAGCAGAGGUAGACAACUUGGUCAGUAUGGAAGGUCACACCUGCAAACAUAGUAAUAAGCUGGACAGCUGCAGCUAAUAUGCAUAUUUAAUUGCUCAUCAUAGUUUGCAUAUCAUUUUAAAGAAGCUGGCAUAUGCCAGAUUACUGUUGACAAGCGUGUUACACUUGUACAAGAUCCUUAGACUGAAGUUAUUUCUUUUAGAGUAAAAAACAUUAGUCAAGUUUGUAACAUUUUAAUGUACAGACUAAGAACUCUAGAAAUAUAUGAAUUUAGGCUUUUAAAAUCACCUUAGUGUUCUCCAUCACAUUUACAAACAUAUCUUUACAGUCGUAAGGGACAGAAAUCUAUUCAAAAUGCAAGCUGGUAUUCUCAGGACUCUUAGAAGAAUCUACAAGGUGCAUGUGGUAUCCCUAUAAAUGUUUAAAUGGGGGAAAAUCACAUUAUACAAAAGUGCAACUUAAAGCAGACAUUUUGCAUUUAAUUAGUUUCUAAAUACUCCAAUAUCCCACAAAAGGUAUGAUAUAGCAGUGUUGGCAGCAGGGCCUUACCAAUUAGCAACUUAAGUUUUUACUACAUUUUGUUACAAGUACAUAGGGCUGUCUGUUAAAAUAUGACCGAUCUGCUACUUCAACUAUAUAUUUCUAUGCAUCCAAAGUUGCCAGAAAACUGAAGUCAGGGUUUCAGUCUGUUGCAGAUCUGAAUUCUAUUAUCUUUUGGAAAAUUCUGCCUCUCCACUGUUAAUACUGUAUUGCCGAUCUAAUAAUCUCCAAACACUCAGCAAGCUGUCUGGGUGUCAGAACCCACACAUUACCAAAUAAUAGGCUUUUAGACUUUCAGUUGACCAUCAAGGCAAGCUUAAUUGUAUGAAGUCAGCAAACCAAACUGAAUGCUAUUACGUGCACAUUUUUGUCUGUAGUACACAUAAGAACUACUGGUCAUAAUGAUGGCAUAACUGGCCAAGAAUAAUCAUUUGGAUUAUGAAUGAUCUCUAGAGUUUUCAACAGCUUUGGCUUCAUAGAAGCAGAGCUUGGAAAAGUUACUUUUUUGAACUACAACUCCCUUCAAUCCAAUCCAGUGGCCAUGCUGGCUGGGGCUGAUGGGAGUUGUAGUUCAAAAAAGUAACUUUUCCAAGCUCUGCAUAGAAGGGACUGUAGUUGGGAUUCAUCAUCAGUGGAUGUCUUCUGAUCUUAUGUUUGCUGUAAAAAGGAAAAACUUCACACAUGGAACAGAAUCAGGAUACUUUACCACAAAGAAGGAAGAGAAUAACUGUGUAGCACCAUGAAUAGCCCAUACAUAUUAGGAAGUCUGUGCCAGUACUUCCAUUUAAAAAUCAGACAAAGGCAGUUACAGCAAUUAAUAUUUUCAGUAGGCAAAAGCGGAAAAGUGUAAUUAGUCACUACCACAUUCUUGAAAAGGAAAGCUUGCAAUUUUGUAGUUGGAAGAGCCAGUUUUUUUGAAAGCAUGUCAUUUCAUUUAAAAGCCUCAACUCGCAUUCUUGAUACGCAUGAGUGCAUGGAAUAGAACAUACAGAUUUAUAUGUAAAGACCGCAUGAGUCAAGAAGGUGUGACUGGUAGUAGGCUCCCAAUCUAUGCAUAUGUGGGAAAACACACAUGCAUGCUCUACAACAGCAUACAUUGGCAUACACAUUUCGUCCUGACAUCUGUGUAGGCAAAGUAAAAUGUGUAAAGUGGCCCUUUGCUGUUUACCAUCUAAAUUAUUUGGAAAACAGGUGUAAGGAAGCAAGUUCACCCACAUAAUGUGUAUUUCACAAAAAGGCUCUUCUUUAUUUAAAAUCCUUUAUAUCCCACUUGUGUCCCCACCCCCAGGAAAUCAGAGCAGUUUGCUCUUAGAAAAAGGAAACAAGCAAUAGCAAACCUCAAAACUCAGGCUCUUGGCACUGUCAAGGGAUCGUAUGUUCUACUUAAUUAAUUAAUAUUUUAAAUAUCCACUGCAAGCAUCUACCAAUCAAGAUCUCAAAUAUAUGUUAGGAAGAUUAUUCUAAACACCCUUUAAAAAAAAAAUACAAUGUUAUGACUGGAAAAAAACUAUCUUACUGUAGACUACUUUCUAAUAUUCCAGGUUUUUAGAAGACAAAUUAAGAAUACAAGAGCAUAAAGACUUGGUUUUUAACUUUUUUUUGCAAUUUUUCAAUAUGUUUCUCUCAGCUUUUAACUUCGUGCAGCUAUUUACUUAUUCCAAUCUCUCAACAUUCCUUGAAAUAUUGUAGUAGUUUGCAUAGUUUGCAUUUGUAGAUGUUCCUUGCACUAUUUCAUCACUCUGUAGAAACAGUGUUAUUCAAGCACAAUAGAGUCAUGGCAAAUCAGAUAGGGAUGGAUAUUUCCCCAAUAUUGGGGACCAAGAUCUGUUGAACAAAACAUAAAAGAACUGAGCUUUCAAUGAGAAGCCACAAUUGGAGCUGUUGUAAACACAUAUGCAUGUCUGUUUUGAUCUUCAGAGUAGGGAUGGUUGAGACUUGCUUAAUUUUGAUGUGAUGGGCUGCUUGGGAGGUGGAUUUUCAAACUGUCUCCUUAUUCUUGUUUGUGUUUCUUUCUUAUUAGCAUGAAAACCAAACAGAACACUUAGCUUGCCAAACAAUACGAUCUGGAAGGGUGAGGAAUGGAACCUACGUAUCCAAGAGUCUUCAGACAGACCCAUUACUUCUAGUUCACUUCCCUAGCACACACUGGCAUUGUUCAAUCACAUUAGUGGCAGAAGGGAUUCGACCUCGCCUAUCCAGCUAUAGGAACAGUGGUGGAUGUUAAAUGCUAUUUAAAAUUAUUCCAGCUACCUCCCUGGGAAAUUGACUGACUUUGUAGCAUAGUAUUCUGUUCUUACACAGCAGGAGAGCUGGCAGGUAUGGAGCAAAAAUACGUGCGCCUCAUACUUUAGUGAUGACAUUUCUCUUCAGGAGUGGAAGGUACAUUUAUCAAUCUCUUUCAUUUUCUAUAUAUAAAAUUUUUCUUUAUAAAGGCCUGCAGUUUCAUAAGACCCAGCUCUUCACUACGCUCAACAUCUAAGGCCCUCCUCCGGGUGCUUACUCGGAGGGAAGCUCAGAGGGUGGCAACAAGGGAGAGGGCCUUCUCAGUGGUGGCCCCCAAAUUAUGGAAUGAUCUUGCUGACGAGGUGUGCCUGGCGCCAUCACUUAUCUUUUCAGCGCCAGGUCAAGACUUUCCUCUUCUCCCAGGCAUUUUAGCAUGUGUUUUAAAUUGUUUUAAAUGUUUAAAUUGUGUUUUAAAUUGUUUUUCAAAGAUGUGCUUUAAAUUUGUAUAUGUGUUUUUAGUUACUGUAAACCGCCCAGAGAGCUUCGGCUAUGGGGCGGUAUAUAAAUAUAAUAAAUAAUAAAUAAUAAAUAAUAAUAAUAAUAAAUAAUAAUAAUCUUUAAAAGGCACACUUAAUUGCCACACAUACGUAAAAGGUGCUGCUGCGGUGGGACCACAGUUUGAUGUGUUUUUUGGCAGUUUUGUUCUCUCAAUUGCAGACAGUUAAGACAGUUUGCUAGAAAAGCUUAGUAUUAGUGUUCUGGGAAUAGGAGGACAGCAGAUACAUGUAAAUUAAGAAAAUAUAUUGCAGACAGUGUUAAGAUUAUACUGACUUUCUAGCUGGCAACAACUACUGUCUGUCUGUUGUUUGGGAUAGUAAGUAGAAGGUAGUGGCUUUCGAUGGAAGCAUCCAAAUGUUGGGGAGAGAUAGUAAAUGCUCAAGAAGACAGCUGCUGCUUAAAAUAUCGAGAAUGUUCUGAAGCUGUUUGGUGUAUUCAUUCUUUUGUGUGUCUGACUUUAUGGAACACAUAGUGUGUCUGACUUGAUGGGGAGAUGGUUUGCAGACGUUUUUACAUGUGUUAGUAAAGAUUCAGGAGAAUGGAAGAUGGCAGCUCAAUAAUCUGAUCAGGACAGAUGUUCAAGGACACACAGGUACCAGACAAGCAAACCAUUGAAGGAUGUGACAAAAGGACAAGAAACAUACACCAGUGGUGUUGCCCUGUUGUUGUUUUUAAGCUUCUUCAGCUCAGAGGGCUAAAUAAUAAACCAGCACAAGCAGGUUACCAAGCAAAAAGCAUUGAUCUUGCCCUUUAAUCAGCAUUUACCUAUGUAUAUUCAGUUAAUAAUCCAGUGUUUUUCUUCCCACAGAGUGCAAGAGUAGUGCAAGGAGAUCUGCCAUUGCCAGCCCAGAGGAUUAGGCUGCAAGACUUUCUCUUUCCUAAAAUGAUUCACUAAUAGGCAAAAAAACCCUUGCAGUUUAAGAAUGUACCUAUAGCCAAUAGAUCAAACUUUAAAAAGCAGGGAAACUGGGCAGCUAUAGUGAAUGCACCGGGGGAACAGGAGACCUGACCUCCUCUCUGAGAUAUUGUACUGCCCUACAAAUUUGUCAAAAUGCAAACACAAUUUGGGUUGGUUUUUCACAGUCCAAUCCACUUCCUGUGCAGCUUGGAAGAAUUUGGAAACAUGUCUCUAAGCAUAUGGUGAGUGAUGGCAACACCUGCAAUCAGCCCAAAUAACAGCCCAAAUGACGUCUGGCAUUACUCGCUCCAUAUAUGGUAGGUCAUGGAUGAUUGCAAUGAUGGCUGUAGAGUGUGCCGGUGGUACUCAAAGAGCCAGAGAACAAUCCCCCAGACCAGAGCAGCAAAGAGUGGGAAGAGAUCUUGUUUUGGCUCUGGGAUGUAACCUUUCUCCACUGCCAGUCGGGACAAGCCAAACAGGAUACGAGACAACAGAAUACUUCAGUGAGUGAAAGAAGCAGAAGAAACGGGGUGCAGUUAAUUUUAUUGUCCUCAAGAGCUUUAACUGGAAGAGCGUAUAUAGGAAUUCAAUAAAAGACCAGUGAUAUGGAA